GACGAACGCUGGCGGCGUGCUUAACACAUGCAAGUCGUACGGUAAGGCCCUUUCGGGGGUACACGAGUGGCGAACGGGUGAGUAACACGUGAGUAACCUGCCCACAACUUUGGGAUAACGCUAGGAAACUGGUGCUAAUACUGGAUAUGUGCUCCUGCUGCAUGGUGGGGGUUGGAAAGCUCCGGCGGUUGUGGAUGGACUCGCGGCCUAUCAGCUUGUUGGUGGGGUAGUGGCCUACCAAGGCGGCGACGGGUAGCCGGCCUGAGAGGGUGACCGGCCACAGUGGGACUGAGAUACGGCCCAGACGCCUACGGGAGGCAGCAGUGGGGAAUAUUGCACAAUGGGCGCAAGCCUGAUGCAGCAACGCCGCGGGCGGGAUGACGGCCUUCGGGUUGUAAACCGCUUUCAGCAGGGACGAAGCUUUUUGUGACGGUACCUGCAGAAGAAGCACCGGCUAACUACGUG
rnacentral:rRNA from 1 species